UUAACACAAAUUUGUAUGCAGUUGGAACAGCGCCCCUAGCGGCAAACGUAGGCAAACGUGCCAACUCCAUACAAACUUGAGUUA
rnacentral:pre_miRNA from 1 species